ACUCGCAGGGCUCUCACUGCUCGCGGUGCGGCAGCCGCGCGCGGACUCCGCUGCGCCUCCGAGGGGGCCAGGCACGCGGUCAAGAUCUGUGGCCACUGGUUCCCAUGGUUUCGAGGCACCAUGAGGCUCGCUGGCUCCUGGAAACUUUGGCUUUGGGCAGCACUUCUCCUGCUUCCUGCUUCCACUUCCGUGACGGUUAGGGACAAGCCAGAUUAAAUCUCUUAGUGGAAAUAGAUGUUUUCCCCAUUGACCUUGACAACACACAUCGAGAAUGUCUAAAAUUACCUCAUGUUUUCAUAUGCAUAUUAGUCUAGAUAGCCUUUUAUUUCUCUCAUUGAUAGUUAAAAAUAUAAAUGUGAAUGUGCAUCUGUGUGUAUGUUUCUCCCUUUCCUCUUUAAAUUCUAAGUUAUUCACAUUAUAAGUAUGGAAACCCAUCACCAGUUAGGAAAGCAGGGAUGUACAUAAGGUUAAUUAGGGAAAGUGAAAAACUGAAUAGGAAAUAGGAAAGGAAAUGUAGUUUAAUUAUUGCCAGUUUUGUAGUGUCAGAUGAGGUGAACCAAAGACAACCAGUCGUGAGAGCACUUUUUAAACUAGAUAGAUAAUACUCACUUGCAACUGUUAAAUACCAACCUCAUAAAUAUUUCUGAAGGACUUGAAGGCAAUUUACUUCCACUUUAGAUUUUUUAAAAUGGUUAUGUGGCUAAUUUGAAAGACUUUUCUUGAACAUUGAAUAGGUGUUAAGUUCCUGAUGGAGAUCUACUUCGGUUACAAAGUUGCAGUAGAUACAGUGAAAAGCCCUUUGCUAAGCAAAGAGAAACUCCUACGCUCUUUCUGUGCAAAGGAUGACUUGUGAUGUAUUCUGGCCAUGGUCCCAGGUGAAGAUGUGUUCUUAGACUGUGUGUCUUGUGCUUGGUCUUUUAAAUAUCUCUUUCAUAUUUUUUGCUAAACAGGUAUAAACACAUCCUAGUAGAGACUUUUGAGUUUAAAGCAUUCAGAAAAUAAAAACAAUCUCUUAUAAAGAUACAACACUUCUGAGCCUCUCAGUGUCUUGUCGGUCUUUACAGUUUUUUACUAAUUUCACAGGGUACAUUUCAUAAAUAAUCUACAUGAAAGUUUGAAUAUUCUAACACCAUACAAAUGAUGCCCUGUGGCUGUCAUACUUCUUUGGAGGGCAAAAAAAAAACUUUCUUUCUUUCUUUUUUUUUUAUUUUAUUUAUUUUUUCUUUUUUUUCAGAAAAAUCAGUAGUGGCUUAUGGCAAAAAGAAGUACAUAGGGCAGGGAGUUUACUCUGAUAAUGUUGCUACUCUUCUGAAUAUUUUUACAUCUCUUCCUUUUAAGAGAUGAGUAGGUAAUGCAAUUUGCUACUUAAUCAGAGGGGAUAGGACUUUUUUUUGGUUUGAAAGGAAAAUGAAUCAGUUUCUAGGUAUAAUGCUAGUGCAUAAUAAAUGCUCCUGAUGGUAAUAAUGAUUUGAAGGAUCUGCAUAAAUGGUUUUCCAAUUUUAGUGUGAGCAAGAAUCAUCUGGAGUAUUGAUCUCUGAGCUCCACUGUUAUGCAAGAGAUCUUGGAGUGGGAUUCAGUAAUUUACAUCUUUAACCAGCAACCCAGGUGAAUCCAAUGCUCUAUGUCUGAGGAAAAUGGAGAAACUCUUCCUUUGGGAUAAUUCACUAUUUCCUUUUCAUUUAAAAUUUUUAUUUCUUGGCUGGUUAUCUUCCACCUUAUGCUACCAGGUACUUUUUAAUUAGUUAAUUAAUUUUGACUUUAAUGACUUUUGGGAGGGGGUGUAAGAACACAACAUCAGCUCUACCCUUUUAACAAUUUUCUAAGUGUAUAAUGUAGUAUUGUUCACUAUAGAUCUCUAGAACGGAAUCAUCUUGUAUAACUGAAACUUCCCCUUCUUGGGAUUCCCCUGAAUGUUCUUAUCUUGUAGCUUUGGUAUCUCACUUCUUGAAUCAGGUUACCUGGUGUGUGGGACAACCGAAAUACAUAUAUUCUGGCCAAUGUAUUCUGCCAAAUUAAUCUUUCUGAAAGAUUUUCCCAAGAAUGUGAAUUCCAAAUUAAUCUGAAUGCUAACAAGAGUCACAUAAUGUGAAGCAUGAAGGGAAAUGAGGGAAGAAAAAAACGAAGAGUUGAUUUUUUUUAUCAGGCCAUUUGGUAGGAAGUGCUGGUGAAACACAGUAAAAGGUGCCAGGGAAAUGGCUUGACUUCAGGUAUCAUUUGCAUUAAUUGAAAAUUUCUGUGCAGCACUGUCAUAAGGACUGUUGGAGAGUAUGACAUGCCGGGCAUGGCCUGAUAGGGCUCUUCAUGUUUCUUGUGUGUCUGAUUCACAGCGCAAUUUCCCUUUUUAGUUUCCUCAUGUGCAGACCUGCGCGUGUGGUCACUAACCGUUAACCGGAGGGAAGUGAGUACAGCUAAAAAUAAAAUAUAACAAAUCAGAGGGAGAGGCUAGGGUUUCAACUCUGGAGUCUGUGAAGUUGUCAACAGUCUGCUGUUAAACUUAAAUAUACGAAGGAUAAGUUGAGUCUUUUAAUCGCUUUACUUAACUCCAUGGCAUGCUUAACGAUUACUUGCAAUCCUGGCCCAGUUGGGACAGAAUUCAAGAGUAAUGUGGAGGGAUUCAAUAACACCUUGACUGUUAAACUCUUGAAGCUAUUUAGAAUUUGUAGUUACAUAUUCUUUCAUCAAUUUGACUGUUAUGUUGAUAUUAUGAUAUAGGGCAUAUUUGCAUAUUUUUACACUGCAGAUAAACAAUCUGAAUGUGGCCAGUUCAGCUCAGUUGUCAAAGCAGGAGGGGAAGAGAGUUAUAUUAAUACAAAUAUAAAUCAUAAAGAUUGUCUCAAGACUUGCUUUCAUCAGUUUCUUAAAACCUUCUUCUAGGACAGAAGCUUAUGUAUCAUAAUGGUUCCUCUUCUCCACUUUGCUUAAUUUAAGGCAAAAGUACUGAGUUAUCACCAAAAGUAAUAAAGACAGAAAACAAGGUAAUGACUUGUAGCAAAAAAAGCCAGACUCAAUAAAAAGAGGUGACAGAAUGCCAUCCCUUCAGCUUAUGGUAAAUCUUUAGGUCAAGUGUAUGAUGAAAUUGAUUAUAAACUUAGGCCCCAAAUUAUACAUCCUUUUAAACUAGUUUUCUAUUGAUUGCAAGGAAAAACUAUUUUUCUGAAAUUUGGCUUUUACCUAUUGACCCACACUGCACUCUUAAACUCAGAAUAGAAGGUACACUAUCAUGUAGAGAAUUUUAUUUUGUGUCGUGAAAAAUUCUUCAUGUUCACUAUGGUACCAUAUAAGAGUCCUACUACUGACAGAUGUACUUUAUAACUCCAACAUUUUUAGGUGCAGGAAAGCAUCACAAUUUUUUUUUUUUUUUUUUUUUUUUUUUUUUUUUUUUUNAGCCACAGCAACGUGGGAUCUGAGCCGCUUCUGCAACCUACACCACAGCUCAGGGCAAUGCCGGAUCCUUAACCCACUGAGCAAGGCCAUGUUUCCUAGUCGGAUUCAUUAACCACUGUGCCACGACAGAACUCCUAGCAUCACAAUUAUUAAAUAAAAAGUAUAGCUCCUACGUAGGUAUUCUCCAAAGGAGGAAUAGCUUUAUAUAUAUAUAUAUAAAUAAGCAAUGAUGUUUCUGUGACCUCUCGUUAGUUCUUUGUUAAAAGAUCUGUGUUCCUAUUUUUUUUUCUCGUUGGUCACUUUUCCAUAUUUUGGCGGCUAUAUGUUCUUUACCUCUUUUGUUAAGCAUUGUUUUUCUCCCAACCUAGGAUACCCUAUAAUCCUUUAUCAGAGGUAUUAGCAAAGUAUGAAGUGUACAGGGGUCCUAAGGGCAACUAGUAGCAAUUAAAUGAAAGGCCUCUGUGAACAGGAAGUCUUUCAGCCUUUACAAAAAUGCAAAACACCUGAAGGCUUUUAUUUUGAUCCAUUUAUGAAAAGAAAACAAAGUAGUUCUAUGUCUGUGGUAAAUUACUUCUCUUUGUCUUCCCCAACACCGAUCUUGAGACAAAUGUUCUGUCAUGAGUUUUGUCCCUAAAGGUAAAAAAACAAUUUUCCUUAAUGUAUGUUAGCAAACAAGAGUGAUACCUGUCAGAGUGGCGAUCAUCAAACAUACCACAUGUAACAAAUGUUGGCGAGGAUGUGGAGAAAAGUGAAUCCUCCUACACUGUUGAUGGCAAUGUAAAUUGGUGCAGCCACUGUGGAAAGAAGUAUGGAGGCUCCUCAAAAAACUAAAAACUACCACAUGACCUAGAAAUUCCGCUCUGGGUAUAUAUUCAAAAACCCCCAAAACACUAAUUCAAAAAGAUGCAUGCGCCCCAAAUGUUCAUAGCAGCACUAUUUACAGCAGCUAAGAUAUGGAAGCAACCUAAGUGUCCAUCAACAGAUGAAUGGAUAAAGAAGAUAUGGUGCAUAUACAUACAUGUGUAUGUAUAUAUAUAUACACACGUAUGUAUAUGUGUGUAUAUAUAUAUAUGUACAAAGAAUUAUACUCAUCCAUAAAAAAAAAUGAAAAUUUACCAUUUGCAACAACAGGGACAGAUUUAGAGGGUAUUGUGCUAAGUGAAGUAAGUCAGAGAAAGAAAUAUACUGUAUAUUAGCACUUAUGUGUGGAAUAAAAAAAUAAA
rnacentral:lncRNA from 1 species